rnacentral:lncRNA from 1 species
AGGCUUCCUUGCUAAGCAUAGGAUACAGACAGAAAAGCUCUCCCCUUGCUGUAUAUGGGCUCGUUGUUGUCUUUGAAUACGGCCUUUUGAAUUUGGUCACAGUAUUGGAAGCAUAAAGGGAUCCAGGGUGACCACCUGCUUCACAGUGAGGAGGGAUAAGCCGAAGCAUGGGAAUUUCAAAAUGUCACUUUACGGUGUCUGUGACCCAGUACAUGGAACAGGACUUGAGCUGCCCUACCCACGCACUGUGUGUUGAUGAGAUUUUCACUAUUUUUCACUCUAUUGUUUUGAGUUCCUGUUAGGACAAGAUGAAGUAUAUUGACACAUCCUCCCUAUGCAGGAGUUUGAUUUACUAGUCCCUGUGGUCAUCAGGGAGGCAAGGAUGAGCUGCCAACUCAUUAUGGGGACCCUCCUAGGGAAUGUCACAGCACCUUCUUGCAACUCCUCAGGUGUCUCCACCUGGUGCCAUCAACCCAUGGAGGGAACUGCCAGUUCCUGUGAUGGCCAGUGGAAGGAGUGACCCCACUGCUGCUUCUACUUGCUACAGAUUCAACUGUGACGACUGACUUCCUUCACUACAACUCCUCUGAGCAGAACACACCUAAAUAUGAAAUGAAGUGUGUGCCUGUGGUAUAAGGAAUCGGGAGGCACGCCAAAGCACAGGAAGGGUUUUUAGUGGCUGCAAGACAGCGCUGGAGAUGACCCAGCUGCCAUGGUGCUCUGGAGACAACUGGGAAUGAAAGUCUGGCUGGCUCCACCUGUGUCCAGCACGUGGCAGUCAUCUGCUUGCAGGGGACAGUCCCCAUCAUCCCUAAGCACUCCAGCCGCAGUAGGAGGAGACAUAGCGUCUGGUCCCUGCGUAGAACUAUUUCCUCAAAGAAUGAAGGACCGGGAUUCAAGGUAAAUUCUCAGACAAUAAAGCGUAGCUCUUCGUGGACCA